CUGAAAAUUGACUGUUUCACACAGGAAAAGCAGCUUGAGCUACACUGACACGUUCAUAUAGAUACAAACAACGAAGCUGUGGGAGAACUGCUGUGUUCAACUGUUUGUCUUGACAGGGCUUUGGCAGUGGAAGGGAGUCUCCAUUGGACUAUUCAGCAGGAUUUGAAGUAGUAGUGGUGGGAGCUGAGCUAGGAGCAAAUCAUAGACCCAGCUGUCACAAAGCAGUAGUUUCUGGCCACUAAACCAUGAGCACUGUACAAACCACACAAGUGAAUGGGCCAGAAACUCCUGAUUAGAAAAGGAAAAUAUCCAUCGCUUCUAGUCAUGCUUUCUAUCUCAGUGCCACUGUUAUUACUACUGUUGCCGCAUCCUGAACUGGUGAAUAAAAAAGGAGACAGCAUUGCAACAUGAAAUCAGGUAGAAAAGCAGGGUGGAUAAAUAACAUAGGUUAAAGGGGAAUGGGGAAUACAAAUGUGAUGGUAGCUGAAAGAGGAUAAAAGAGUGGAGGAGGUCAAGUGAACAGCUGUAAGGCAUUGCUUCAAACGAAGUUCAGCUGCAGAAAAGUUCUUGAGUGAACUGGGUUGCUCUUGCAGCUUGGAUUCACAAGUGAGAAGGGCUGGUGGACAAGAACAAAUUUGCUAUAAUAUUCUUCGGUUGAGGCUGAAGAAAUUCUCUAGAAUGCCUGGAACAAAGAUACUAGAAUGAAAAAACCAAAAUGAGUUACUGGCAGGGGAAUACAGACUACAUUUCCAGGUAACUUCUAGACCUGGUGAUCCAUUGCCAUGCAACUGUUGCAAUAUUAGGUGAAUUGCUGAUUCACCUUCCCUGGGGAAAGGGCAGAGUUGGAAUAAGUCAGCGGCCUUGUACUGGUGGAGAUGGAGAAGUUAGGCGCUGACGGCUUCUGUCUGUGUUGCCCUUUGAAUGACCAGUGACAUGGCAGCCUUGUCUAAAGGCAGCUGCCUAAGCUCUGCUUGUCCAUGUUAAAUGCAGAGUUUCAGCUUUGUUAGGAAUCAUUUGCAUGCAGCAGAUCUUGUUCUCUCUGAGGUGCAUUGGUGUAGUGCCAGUCAGCUUGGGGAGAAAAGUGGUGGGAGCAGUGUCAGAGGGGUGACCAGGUGUAUAAAUCUGUGCCAAUCUCCUUGGAAAGGGAUCUUGCUGUUGUCUUAAUGAAGAGACCAGAAAAAGGAGAAGAGAGGAAUCUGCUUGAACUGCAGAAACUAAAUGGAGCAAGGAGGAAUGGGAUCUGGUAAGGGAUGUGUGAAAGGACCUUCUGUCAGCUGUCUUCAUGACCAUGGAGGGAAGCGACAGAGGGGCUGCAUUUCUAUUAAAACACAAAAUUGAAGAGAGAUUUUUCAAGGAAUGUUAUCAUUCAAGAAGCUUCGUGAUCAGUUUGGCACUCUUUUGUUUUUUUACUCUUGUAGUUACUGUUGUAUCUCUGGGUGAAUUAAGCUGUGGUGCAAGUUAAAGGACCAGUCAUACUGGUGUGCUUGCUCUCAUUACUUCCAGAUAUAUAGUAGCUCAACUGACCUUCAUUUGCUGCAUGUAGAUAAAUCAAUUGCUGAACACAGGUAUAAAAUUGCGAUGUGCAUAUUUAACAUUUUCUCUUCUGGUCUUUGGAGCAGUGGAAGGUGAGACAAGAUUAUGAUAUUUACUUGGUUGAACUCUCUUCUGUUUAGGCUGGAAGAGCUAGUGGAUGGACAUGCUGUACUCCUUUCCUUUUUCCUUGUGCUAGGGUGUCGUAAGGAAGAUGAGUCCUUGCUUUAGUCUGAGUUCUUAUCUGGAAUAAACCUUUCAGCUGAUCUGAGCA
ensembl:lncRNA